AAGUGUUGCAUAGUACAACGUUGCUCAAUAGGACAUGUGCAUUGUUAACUUAUAUUCGUUUGUAAAUACAUCACGAGUGAGUAGCGCGACAUUGCUGAAAAAUAAUAAACCUCCUUGUAUAAGGAUUAUGAUUAUCUGGCCAUAGAAUACUAGCUAGAGAAAGACUUUAGACGAAUUUGAGUCACCUGUUGAUCAAAGUCCUUUAAUCUUAUUAUUCAUUAUGUGUUGAGACUUUAUGAAAGUGAUUUUAUUAAGUGAUAAUUAAAUAAAAAGUAUUCUUGACUCAAAGCGGUUCUUCCAAUGAUGAGUUGGAACACCCCAGAAGUUAAUUUCAAGAAUCUACUCUUUUCAAGAAAUAAAAAACGUAUGAAGUCCUUCUCGCUAGUAGUCCUUGAAGUACAAUUUGGAUUUAAAUCCAUUACAACAAAUCCAUAAAUUAGUUUAUAAUGAGUUGUUUGUCGAUGAGUAUGGACUACCUCUUUUCAUCCUCAUUUCGAUGUUAAUAUCAAUUAAGUUCCAUCCUCGGAAUCUGUUUCUUUAGUGAGCAAGGACUGACUCGCCAAGAUAACGAAGAUCCUUUUGGAUUAUAAUAUUUCAAGAUAAUACGAAUAUAGUCCAUUCAUGAAUUACUCAUUUAUACGUAGUUGAGUAAAGUGACCAUCUUUUCUUCUCAUGAAAGUCAAGAUAAUUUACAUUGAGGAAUGAUUACUUUCUUGCUCCUUUGAAUAAAGACAACAAGAGUCAACAUCUAUAAAGAAUUUAUCUUCAUCCAAUUUAUGUAAAUCUAACUACUAGUAUGUUGAUUAUGCAAUGGAAAGAAAUAACUAUGUUUUAAUAUUUUAUUGUAAAUUUUCUAGCAUUUUUGAAUUAGAUACUUAUCACUUCGA
rnacentral:lncRNA from 1 species